rnacentral:tRNA from 1 species
CGGGGCGUAGCUUAGCCCGGUAGAGCGCCUGCUUCGGGAGCAGGAGGUCGCUGGUUCAAAUCCAGUCGCCCCGAC